rnacentral:snRNA from 1 species
AGCUUUGGCGGCAGUGGCAGUAUCAUAGCCAAUGAGGUCCAAACCGAGGCGUGAUUAUUGCUAUUGAAAACUUUUUCCCAAUACCCCCGCCGUGAUGACUUGAAAUAUAGUCCAGGCACUGGCAAUUUUUGACAGUUUCUCAGGAGA